rnacentral:rRNA from 1 species
UACGAAGGGGGCUAGCGUUGCUCGGAAUCACUGGGCGUAAAGGGUGCGUAGGCGGGUUUUAAGUCAGGGGUGAAAUCCUGGAGCUCAACUCCAGAACUGCCUUUGAUACUGAAGAUCUUGAGUCCGGGAGAGGUGAGUGGAACUGCGAGUGUAGAGGUGAAAUUCGUAGAUAUUCGCAAGAACACCAGUGGCGAAGGCGGCUCACUGGCCCGGUACUGACGCUGAGGUGCGAAAGCGUGGGGAGCAACA